AUUGAACGCUGGCGGCAGGCCUAACACAUGCAAGUCGAACGAGUGGCGGACGGGUGAGUAAUGUCUGGGAAACUGCCUGAUGGAGGGGGAUAACUACUGGAAACGGUAGCUAAUACCGCAUACAAUCAGAUUUGCCAAGAUGGGAUUAGCUAGUUGGGGGGGUAACGGCUCACCAGGGCGACGACCCCUAGCUGGUCGGAGAGGAGGACCGGCCACACUGGAACUGAGACACGGUCCAGACUCCUACGGGAGGCGGAAGUGGGGAAUAUUGCACAUUGGGCGCAAGCCUGAUGCAGCCAUGCCGCGUGUAUGAAGAGGGCCUUCGGGUUGUAAAGUACUUUCAGCGGGUAGGCGUUACCCGCAGAAGAAGCACCGGCUAACUCCGUGCCAGCAGCCGCGGUAAUAC
rnacentral:rRNA from 1 species